rnacentral:sRNA from 1 species
UUUUUAUGGGAUCUGGUGCAUUAGUGCUGGUAUGAUCGCAUUCGUUACUACAUGCAAUGCAAUCGUAUCUAUUCUUUUUUGAAGACUUUAUGAUCAAUUUGUUGUGGGUCCCACCAGCUAUGUAGGAAUACCCUAUCUUGUUUAUAAGAGCUUUGAUACAUGAAAUAUAUUCGAAAACAAUGUGCGAACAUAUUAUUUUUGCCCCGUAAUAUAGCAAAGAUCACGAAAAGGCCCGAAAAAGUACAUUAAGGUCAAAUUUUGGAGUAGAAAAAAAAAACAAUAGAAGAAUUCCAUUUUUCUUCCUCAUUCAUCGGAGAGCUCUCUUUGGGCUUUCCGAAAAGGUAUCACACGCCAAGUGUUUGGCAUCACGGUCUAAAAGUUCUAGAGUCAUACAUUUUUGACAAAAGAAAAAGAGAAAAUCCGAAGAAAGUAGGUAUGCAACACGAGGACUUUCCUGAAGGUCACCCAUCCUAGUACUACUCUCGCCUAAGCACGCUUAACUGCGGAGUUCAAAUGGGAUCUGGUGCAUUAGUGCUGGUAUGAUCGCAUUCGUUACUACAUGCAAUGCAAUCGUAUCUAUUCUUUUUUGAAGACUUUAUGAUCCAUUUGCCGUGGGUCCCACCAUCUAUGUAGGAAUACCCUUUCUUGUUUAGAAGAGCUUUGAUACAUGCUAAAUAUUCGAAAAAAAUGUCCGAACAUAUAAUUUUUGCCCUGUAAUAAAGCAAAGAUCACGAAAAGGCCCGAAAAGUACAUUAAGGUCAAAAUUCGGAGUAGAAAAAAAAACAAUAGAAGAAUUCCAUUUUUCUUCCUCAUUCAUCAGAGAGCUCUCUUUGGGCUUUCCGAAAAGGUAUCAUAUGCCAAGUGUUUGGCAUCACGGUCUAAAAGUUCUAGAGUCAUACAUUUUUGACAAAAGAAAAAGAGAAAAACCGAAAAAAGAGGGAUGCAACACGAGGACUUUCCUAGAGGUCACCCAUCCUAGUACUACUCUCGCCCAAGCACGCUUAACUGCGGCAUUCAA